UGGGAAUCUUGGACAAUGGGGGCAACCCUGAUCCAGCCAUGCCGCGUGAGUGAUGAAGGCCUUAGGGUCGUAAAGCUCUUUCGCCUGUGGAAGAUAAUGACGGUAGCAGGUAAAGAAACCCCGGCUAACUCCGUGCCAGCAGCCGCGGUAAUACGGAGGGGGUUAGCGUUGUUCGGAAUUACUGGGCGUAAAGCGCACGUAGGCGGACCAGAAAGUUGGGGGUGAAAUCCCGGGGGCUCAACCCCGGAAACUGCCUCCAAAACUAUUGGUCUAGAGUUCGAGAGAGGUGAGUGGAAUUCCAAGUGUAGAGGUGAAAUUCGUUAGAUAUUUGGAGGAACACCAGUGGCGAAGGCGGCUCACUGGCUCGAUACUGACGCUGAGGUGCGAAAAGUGUGGGGAGCAAAACAGGAUUAGAUACCCUGGUAGUCCACACCGUAAAACGAUGAAAUGCCAGUCGUCGGGUAGCAUGCUAUUCGGUGACACACCUAACGGAUUAAAGC
rnacentral:rRNA from 1 species